ensembl:rRNA 5S_rRNA 5S ribosomal RNA
AUCUACGACCAUACAACCCUAAAUGCACCUGAUCUCGGAAGCUAAACAGGGUCGGGUCUGGUUAGUACUUGGAUGGGAGACCACCUGGGAAUACCGGGUGCUAUAGGCU